CUUCUUCUUUUCCCUUUCCUUUGUCUUUCUUCUUUUUUGUUUUUGUCUUCUCAGAAGAAGCUCCUUUUUUCAUGUAAUAGUCCGCUCCACCUUGAGAGAAAGCUCGAAGACGAC
rnacentral:ribozyme from 13 species